GACGAACGCUGGCGGCGUGCUUAACACAUGCAAGUCGAACGGUAAGGCCCUUCGGGGUACACGAGUGGCGAACGGGCGAGUAACACGUGGGUGAUCUGCCCUGCACUUCGGGAUAAGCCUGGGAAACUGGGUCUAAUACCGGAUAGGACCACUGCCUGCAUGGGUGGUGGUGGAAAGCUUUUGCGGUGUGGGAUGGGCCCGCGGCCUAUCAGCUUGUUGGUGGGGUGAUGGCCUACCAAGGCGACGACGGGUAGCCGGCCUGAGAGGGUGACCGGCCACACUGGGACUGAGAUACGGCCCAGACUCCUACGGGAGGCUGCAGUGGGGAAUAUUGCACAAUGGGCGCAAGCCUGAUGCAGCGACGCCGCGUGAGGGAUGACGGCCUUCGGGUUGUAAACCUCUUUCAGCAUCGACGAAGCGAAAGUGACGGUAGGUGCAGAAGAAGGACCGGCCAACUACGUGCCAGCCGCCGCAGUAA
rnacentral:rRNA from 1 species